rnacentral:rRNA from 1 species
CAAUAGCGUAUAUUAAAGUUGUUGCGGUUAAAAAGCUCGUAGUUGGAGUUCUGCCAGGUGACACUCGUCCGCCCAAGUGGUGUGUACAGGGUGUGCAUCUGGCCCUUUCAAGGGGAACGUGUCUGCACUUCAUUGUGUGGUGCGAGAUCCUUGACUUUUACUUUGAGGAAAUAAGAGUGUUCCAAGCAGGCUCUCGUCGUGCAUAGCUCAGCAUGGAAUAAUAGCAUUGGACUUCGUUUCUACGCUGUUGGUUGCAAGAAGCGAGGUAAUGAUGAAGAGGGAUAGUUGGGGGCAUUCGUAUUUAACUGUCAGAGGUGAAAUUCUUGGAUUUGUUAAAGACGGACCACUGCGAAAGCAUCUGCCAUGGAUGUUUUCAUUGA